rnacentral:rRNA from 1 species
UACAGGGGGUGCAAACGUUGCUCGGAAUCAUUGGGCGUAAAGCGCACGUAGGCGGUUCGUUAUGUCGGAUGUGAAAGCCCUCGGCUUAACCGAGGAAGUGCAUCCGAAACUGGCGAGCUAGAGUACGAAAGAGGAUCGCGGAAUUCCCGGUGUAGAGGUGAAAUUCGUAGAUAUCGGGAGGAACACCGGUGGCGAAGGCGGCGAUCUGGGUCGAUACUGACGCUGAGGUGCGAAAGCGUGGGGAGCAAACAGG